rnacentral:sRNA from 1 species
GUAUCCCAGCUGUAGCCCCUUCCUGUCACCCCAUGAAUCACCAGGGAUGAUUCAGCUGAUAUGGCUGGCUAGGCUGGUGUCUCCUUCCUCCCUCACUGCUCCAUGUACUUCUCUCUGGAACCUGGGCACUUGGUCCAAGAGGAUGACCUUCGCCGAAUAGAGGAGGACCUGUCUUUGGUCAAGGGUAUAUGAGUAGCUGCGCUCCCCUUCUAGAACCUCCAAACAAGCUCUAGGUCCAAUCUCAUUCUUAUGCACCCUCUUUUG